rfam:Brassica oleracea var. oleracea cultivar TO1000 chromosome C5, whole genome shotgun sequence
AUAAUAUAAGAUACGGUCUCUUAGCUUUUAACUAAAAAAACUAAGAGAUGUCUCUUAUAUCUCUUAUAUAAGAGACAUUUCUUAGUUUUUUUUAGUUAAAAGUUAAGAGACUGUAUCUUAUAUUAC